GUUCUGACCCAGGAAAAGAACGGCGUGCAAUCUCCAGGACACUCUUCACUCAUAGUCUCGUCCUCUCAUCUGGAAGUCUGGCGUAACACGUCUACAAGAGGUUUCCUGGCUAUUCUGAAUAAAAACACCUUCUUUCAGAAGAUACGACACACCUGGUGUACGCUGGACUUCCAGAGGUACCAAACAAGGUUUGCUGGGCUGUACAAGUGUUGCCUUGUUGUCAUUCCCAUAGCCAAUACAUUUCUCCAUAAGGGAACAAGCCUUUUCUGCUUACCUGCAAGAACAGCAUACUCAAAGUAAAACUUAUUUAUUUAUAGUACAAAUGGAAAGGUACUUAGAGGAGUUCAAGUAUGUAGCAUGAAAUGGUAAUGUUUUCUUUUACAUCACAGAUGUAAGUGAUGUGUUGUCAUCCCUCAUUUGGAAGAUCCGUCUCAUUGUGGAUGUCCUAACCCACCUAUCCCUAUGCAGAACAUCCAGGCCUGUACGCACUGCGUUGUCAUGGGUACCCGUGCUUAUCCAUGAACUCUGUUCAAACAGAGCCUAAACAAUCACAUACCUACACAGAGAAAAAUUCUCUUUUCAUCGAAAGAGCUGAAUUUGUGCUCACGUUCCUCUCAGUCUCUGCAGAAGCUGGUUUGCUCAAACGCAGUAAUAUGGAGCCAAAUGUCAGCUGCAGCUUUUGAGUCAGGGUGGGGGGAAGGAUGAUUUUUUGCAAGAGGAGAGGUCUCCUGCAGUAGACCGAGUGUAUUGGUCUCAUGAUCUUGCAGAAAUGGAGGACUCCUAGGAAAUAUCAGGGUUCAGUCCUGCUUCCCGACUACUCUAGCACUGGUGGUUGUGGCCGAAGGACCAACGGAGUGCCUACCUGCUGGCUGCCAGCUCCUCUCCCUCUCCUAGGAGAGGCAGAAGCAGCAGAUUGGAAGAAAAUCAACACAAAAUAAAGUAUGAAGUGAGGAUUCAAGCUUCCUGCCCCUCCUUUUCCACCUACUCUCUAGAUAUUUCCCAGCCUGUGGCCUAUGGGUUCCCAAUUUUUGAUGGAAAACACAGGCUGAUCUUGAAAUGUGACAGCGAUUCAGAGGGAGGAAGGAGAGACUGCCAGAUGGCUCAGCUUUGCACCUUCUUCAGUUUGCAGGAUAACGCUUCGUGAUUUGCCAUAAAUUUAUAGUUUUCCCCCAUCUCUGUGCUGUGGAAUGAAGCUAAACUUUUGGCCUCUUGGCUCCAUCUUUCCACGUAGUAGCAAAAAGAUGUGGUAUCAUGGAGGGGGAAUGAAGAAAGUUUGUCAUCUUGUAUGCGUAUGUGCAAAGGAGAGAAAAUGGGGGUGGGGGGUGCUAUGAAAGGAAAAGCAGCUCAUGAAGAAUAUAACUAGCAGAGCUGAAAACACCCCCUCAGUGCCCACAGUGAGCAUCUCAUUCCGCUGAGAGUCUGGCUGGAGGUAUCUUAAAUCCGUAAGAGACCGGAAGGAACUAUUUAUUCACAUGAUCAUAAUCUAAGAUGAGAUUAUAGCCUGAAUUCAUGAACUUUCUUAGGUAUAUUAUUUGCUACUAUACAAAUCCAAAUGGCACUUUCUUUCCUAAUUUUCUUUGUUCUCUCCCUCCUAGUGCAGCGUAAAGCUGUGAAGCAAUUCCACUGAGGCAUGGUGGGCCACUAAUCUUCACUCAGGGAAACAGCAGGAUCUGCUGUGCUUCCAGAUCUGUGUUUCAUCAUCCUCCUCUGUCCUUCUUCUGGCCCCUCUUCAGAGCUUCUAGGGAGAAAUUUUUAACCGUGUUGUUAUUCACUUUCCACGCUGUAACUAGUAGGAGUGUGAUAAUGUCACAUUAUGUGAUUAUUUUUGGUGGUUGUCAUACUGUAGUUAUUUACCAGGGACUAAAGAGUAAUACGACUAUAAAUAGUCAUUGCAUGACCUUAAUACAAUCUUUCUGGUUUAUGAAAAUGUUAAUUUUUUUUUAAUGAUAAUCUGCACAAAUAUAGUAUGUAUAGCAGAAUGGAAGUCAGAAGUAGUUAGAAGCUCUGAUUUUUUCCAAGUUCAAGAGAGAAUUCAGCACGGAAAACAUGUCAAUAGGAGGCUUCUGGAGCAUGUGUCACUUUUGCAGAGAAAGUAAGUUUAUGCAUGUAAUUUCCAUAUUCUGAUAGAAUUCUCAACCAGGCUUUUAAAAUUACAGUCCUAAAAUCUGAAGCAAUGUUUUUGCACUUCCAAGUUCAAGUUUUGCGCAUGCACUAAGCUAUUUAGCAGGGCAGUGUGGCUAUAUCAUCUGCGCACACAGAAAGCGGCCUCCUGCAGCCUUGCUCCCCAGCAUUCUGUGCAUGUUUUGAACAGAAGUCUUCUUGUGUCACUGGUGGAAGGAGGAAUUCAGCCCAGGAGAUGCUUCAAGUUGGUCAUCGACUCCAAUGCUGUCCUGCUGCAGUUGAGGAAGGACUCAUGGCCCUACACACCCCCAUGCAACCACCCCAGUUUCCAUCCCCAAGCCCCCCAGUAUCUCCCUUAUUUGUGCAUUUUCCAUUGCUUUGGUACCUGUGCAGCAGGAAAACACAUAACGCCAAGUGCUCUGUCCCCAGGGAUGACAAAUUUUUUUCAGAGCCCAGUUUUCAGUCCAUCUCCCAAAAUAAGGACUUGUGGGCAGGUCUCCUGCAGCUGUCCCAUUUAGGCAAGUUGUGGCAGGAGACCAGAGGCUUAUUGUAUGAGCAGUUAGCUACACUUAAUAUUUUGGAUGUGAUCUAGAUGCAUUUUAUAAAUCAGUCAAAAUGUAACUAUCAAUAGGUUUUACACUCUGAAAUCUACGCAGCUUUUCGGUACAAUGUUAUGUUAAAUGACUUGCUGCUGAGCAGACUGCCGUAACCAUUUUCCCUCCAAUAUGGGAUAAGUGCACAUAACCUAAUAUUUGCUAUUGUUUCAGAUAGACUUCUCAAAACGUGCUGCUUUGUUCAGAGACAUCCAGACUUAGGUUUGGCUAUAAAUUUUCUGUAAGUGUGCAAGCAAAUUAACUUCUACUUAGAAAUGUAUCUAAAGCAUUAGUUUGCAAACAACUGUAUGUGCAGAAUUUUUGUUUUCUCAGGAGAGAUAUGUGUGAACAUGCAGCUGAGGUAAAAAUAAUUAAAACCUUUAUGUUUGCUCCUGUUUUAUAAGUUCUUCAGUGCUACUGCAUUGGCUAGGAGGGCAAAGCUGCUUUUGCUACAGAACAUAUCUAAAUGGAAAUAAAGAUAUCUGGAGGUAUAUGUACUGUGCUGCAUAUGCACUGGUCAGAAUAAUAGCUUUAAUAUAAGAAUGCAUACUUUCUUGACAGCUCCUGCUAUAUUUUUGGUACCCCGACAGGGAUUUCAGACACUGAGGACAAAUCCCUUUUUCUAUCCAAAAAUACUAUUCAAAUGAAAAUUGUAAUUUAGACACAAAGGCAUGAUUUAAAAUAAUCUGUGCAGGUUGUAACAGGAGUCUGUCCCUAAUAAA